rnacentral:misc_RNA from 1 species
GCCCUUGCCACCGCCAGCGUAGAAACCAAAAGCCAAAUAGCCGCAAACAGUCUUCCAGGCGGAGUCUUAAAUGCCCUAUCACCAUACCCAACUGUAGUAACAGACAUAACUGCCAAAUAUAUCGAAUCAAUCCAAUCCAGAUCCUCAACAAAGUACAGAACCAACAUACCCAUUCCGAUACACAAAAUCACGACGCCAAGUGCCAAUCCAACCUUCAAUCGUAUCCUCAUCCUCCCCUUUUCGACAUCGAUAAUGCAAUUCCUAGCUGAAAAUGCUUGCUGGGCUUUACCCAUUUGAAUCCCAGCCAAGAUCAUACUCUCUUGCAAAUCAAGAACAUAGUUAACAACCCCACUAAGUGAUAUGUCUAUGAAUCCAAAACCAACCAAUACAAACAUG